UGCAAGUCGAGUGCGCGUCCGUAGCAAUACGGAUGGCGCACGGCGCACGGGUGCGUAACACGUGGGCAAUCUGCCCUUCGAUGGGGAAUAACUCCGGGAAACCGAAGCUAAUUCCGCAUAACAUUCCUUGGACCUCGGUUCGAGGACUCAAAGCCGUAAGGCGUCGAAGGAGGAGCCCGCGCCCGAUUAGCUAGUUGGUGAGGUAACGGCUCACCAAGGCAAUGAUCGGUAGCUGGUCUGAGAGGAUGGCCAGCCACACUGGAACUGAGACACGGUCCAGACUCCUACGGGAGGCAGCAGUGGGGAAUCUUGCGCAAUGGGCGAAAGCCUGACGCAGCGACGCCGCGUGGGGGAUGAAGCAUCUCGGUGUGUAAACCCCUUUCGACUGGGACGAAUGCCUCGCAAGAGGAGUGACGGUACCAGUAGAAGAAGCCCCGGCUAACUACGUGCCAGCAGCCGCGGUAAGACGUAGGGGGCCAGCGUUGUUCGGAAUUACUGGGUGUAAAGGGUUCGUAGGCGGUGUGGCAAGUCGGGAGUGAAAUCUAUGGGCUUAACCCAUAGGCUGCUUCCGAAACUGCCGUGCUUGAGUGUGGGAGAGGCGCGUGGAAUUGCAGGUGUAGCGGUGAAAUGCGUAGAUAUCUGCAGGAACACCCGUGGCGAAAGCGGCGCGCUGGACCACUACUGACGCUGAGGAACGAAAGCUAGGGGAGCAAACAGGAUUAGAUACCCUGUAGUCCUAGCCCUAAACGAUCAGGACUUGGGGUGCACCCGUUCGGGUGUCGUCCCGGAGCUAACGCGUUCAGUCCUGCACCUGGGGAGUACGGUCGCAAGACUGAAACUCAAA
rnacentral:rRNA from 1 species